GACGAACCGUGCGAACGUUGUUCGGAAUCACUGGGCUUAAAGGGCGCGUAGGCGGGCUGUCAAGUCUGGGGUGAAAUCCCACGGCUCAACCGUGGAACUGCCUUAGAUACUGACGGCCUCGAGGGAGGUAGGGGCGUGCGGAACUGUAGGUGGAGCGGUGAAAUGCGUUGAUAUCUACAGGAACUCCGGUGGCGAAAGCGGCGCGCUGGACCUCUUCUGACGCUGAGGCGCGAAAGCUAGGGGAGCAAACGGGAUUAGAUACCCCAGUAGUCC
rnacentral:rRNA from 1 species